GCGGAUGUGGCGCAGCUGGUAGCGCACAACCUUGCCAAGGUUGGGGUCGCGAGUUCGAAUCUCGUCAUCCGCUCUA
rnacentral:tRNA from 1 species